CGCAAUCACCACAGAGCAGCCUACAGAUACUACCAACGCAGAGGAAUCAGAAACAGUUGAGGUUCUGCAGGAGAAAAUGCAAAAUGCAGUUGACAAAGAUAUUGAAAUCCUUGAUUCAGGAAAACCAGUAGAAAAAUCGGUGGAACCUCAACUAUCCACUGGUACCAAUGACGAAGCUCGAGAGUACCAUAUUCAAGAUAAGCAGAAAAUUGGGGAGGAAAAUAAGGAGGUGCAAGGUGAGGAAUUGCCAGUUCGUGAUGAUGCUGUCGUCUCUGAACCUAAUAAUGAAGGAAAAGAGCGUAAUGUGGUGGUUGAGCAGCGGCUUGUGGAGGAGAGCUUUGAGAUGCAAGGGAACGAACCAGUGGCUGCUGAACCAGAAACUGCCGAUAAUGCUGCACAUGUGAUCGAGGAACCAGUGGAUGGAACUAAAGCUACGGCUGCUCCAGCAUCAGAAGCUGUAACUACCGAGACAGACCUGUCAAGGGAGAAAGAGCUUGGUGUAGCAGAUGACCACAACACACAUCGAUCUUGUGAUGCCGUGGAAGGUAAUUCUGUUGAUACUUCCCAUUCUUUUGGUUCUUCUACGCCUAUUGAAGUACAAGUUAUGGAUGCAAACAAGCUUAAAGAAUGGAUGAAAGUGGACAUGUCCCCAUCGUCACCUACUGCCAGCCAAGAAUCCUGUGAUAGUGAUGCGCUGUCUGAGAGCGAUAAAAAACUUAUUGAGGAGAAU
rnacentral:lncRNA from 1 species